rnacentral:sRNA from 1 species
UUAUGAACAACGCAAAUAAUCACUUUCGACGCUAUCUCUUAAUUUAUUCGGUGCGAGACGGUACCUCUGCGCAAGCAGAAAUAUCUCCACGACCAUUGAAUUCGAGACUGGAAAAAGGAGAAUAAAAUGUUUAAAAGCCUGAUCUUGGGUGCGGUGCUUCCAACGUUCAUCUAAUGAACAACUGGGGAGGAUCGCAAUGAUCGGACUUACAU